rnacentral:rRNA from 1 species
AUUGAACGCUAGCGGGAUGCUUUACACAUGCAAGUCGAACGGCAGCGCGGACUUCGGUCUGGCGGCGAGUGGCGAACGGGUGAGUAAUGUAUCGGAACGUGCCCAGUAGCGGGGGAUAACUACGCGAAAGCGUAGCUAAUACCGCAUACGCCCUACGGGGAAAAGCAGGGGAUCGUAAGACCUUGCACUAUUGGAGCGGCCGAUAUCGGAUUAGCUAGUUGGUGAGGUAACGGCUCACCAAGGCGACGAUCCGUAGCUGGUUUGAGAGGACGACCAGCCACACUGGGACUGAGACACGGCCCAGACUCCUACGGGAGGCAGCAGUGGGGAAUUUUGGACAAUGGGGGCAACCCUGAUCCAGCCAUCCCGCGUGUGCGAUGAAGGCCUUCGGGUUGUAAAGCACUUUUGGCAGGAAAGAAACGUCGCGGGCUAAUACCCCGUGGAACUGACGGUACCUGCAGAAUAAGCACCGGCUAACUACGUG